rnacentral:ncRNA from 1 species
ACCUCGAUUGACUCAUCAAAUCCUGAGGCUGGAGAAGGUCCUAAGAGUUCGGCUGUUGCCCGAUUAAAGUGAUACGUGAGUUGGGUUUAAAACGUCGUGAGACAGU